AACAGAUCAAAAAGACGGGCCAGAAUUGGGGUCACUGUAGUUAUAUCUCUUCCCAAUGGACACCCCUAGAUUGUCAAGCCAGCCGAUCUUAUGUUCCAGGUUGUAUGAGACUGUGAGUGACAGAGCUGACACAAGCCCACAGAUGCUGGGAUACCAUAUGCCCUGUUGUGCCAGGGAUAUUGGCCACAUAAACAAGAAAACGGCUUGCCAGUUAUUCACUAGCAGCCGUCUGUAAGCUGUUCAAACGCCCCCAGUCUCAUCUUCAUCAU